UAAACCGUUUAUGCCAAGAGUUACGUCUUGCGCUGAUAUAGGAGGGGAGGGAGGGGGGAGGGAGGAAAUGUAUGUUAUGUACACGUCCACGUACAUGUAUGGGCAUUAUUAAUAAAUAAAUAAAUAAAAAAAAAAAAUCCCCCGUUUUUGUCUACACGCACACGGAAGAGGUAAUAUCUGGACAGCGAAGAUGGGAGGAGGGUAGGAGGAGAGGAGAAAUAAGCACAGCAUAUGGAUUUCUUUGACAAUAAUGCGAAGAAGAAAAGCUUCAGGUGAAAGGUGAAAAUUAUAUUUAAAAAAUAAAAAUAAAUUAAAUCAAAUAAAAAAAUUAAAAAUUACAAUAAAAAAGUAAAAAUAAGAAAAUGAAAAGUUAAAACGGGAAGGAGAUGAGGGGGAAGAAAAGUAAAAAUAAAAAAAAAAUAGGCGCGCGCCCUCUGCUGGGCCUUGGAAAACAAUCAAAAUCUUUCCUUCAAAUGGUGAUGAAUGAUGGUAUGAUGAGGGCCUAGUCAGCUUGUGGUAGUUUCAAAUGAUGGGAUGAAUUGUACAGAUGUUUUUAUUUAAAGGGAAAUAACGGGAAAUCAUAAUUAGGAAAUGAUUUUUAAAAGUAAACACAUGUAUUUCCAGAAGCGACAUUCUUAAGCUAGAUUGCACAUGCUGCUUGAAUGAAAUGGGAACAAGAUGACAGGCAGAGAAAGAAUCAGUUAAGUCAAUG
rnacentral:sRNA from 2 species